rnacentral:rRNA from 1 species
UUUAAAGUCUAACCUGCUCAAUGAAUUUAUUUUAAAUAGCCGCAGUAUUUUGACUGUGCAAAGGUAGCAUAAUCAUUAGUUUUUUAAUUAAAAGCUGGAAUGAAGGGUUAAAUGAAAAAAAAACUGUCUCAAUAUUAAUGAAUUAGAAAUUUAUUUUUAAGUUAAAAAGCUUAGAUUUUUUAAAAAGACGAGAAGACCCUAUAGAGUUUAAUAUAAUUUUUUUAUUUAUAUUUUUUAGAAUUUAAUAUUUUAAUUAAAUGAUUAUAUUUUAUUGGGGUGAUAAAAAAAUUUAAAAAACUUUUAAAUAAAAUUACAUGAAUUAAUGAUUAAAUGAUCCUGAUUUUUAGAUUAUAAGAAUUAAUUACCUUAGGGAUAACAGCGUAAUUUUUUUAAAGAGUUCAAAUCGAAAAAAAAGAUUGCGACCUCGAUGUUGGAUUAAAGAAAAUUUUUAAUGAAGAAGUUAAAAUUUUAGGUCUGUUCGACCUUUAAAUCUUUACA